CCCACAUCCCAAGGACACUUCCUGGAGUCCCUGGGGUAGAUUUACAUAACAUGGUCCCCAUCCUCUGGAGUGACCCAACCGAACUGAGCCCAUUGAGACCUAGAAGUGCCCUUCCAACUAGAGGAAUUACACAGUACGAGUCAGACCUCUCUGGACCCCAGGGCAACUCUGCUAUUUUGUUUUGAACUGAGCUGGAGGGUGCUGAGCAGAGGUGAAAGGGGGAAAUACUUACUUCCCUUAGGCUCGGUCAGAGCAGGCUUCCUGGAGGAGGGGGUAUUUUUAAGAUAACAAUAGAUGGUAUGAUAAGGAACAUUUACUGAGAAGGCACUGUGUCUAGACACGUGCAGAGCCUCUGCACACGUUGCGUCUCAUCUGUGCUCAUAACAAGUUCACGAGUCAAGUACUUCCAAGAGUCUCUGGCUACAGAUGGGGAUGCUGAAGCUCAUUCACAAUCGGUGAGGUCGAGCUGGGAUUCAAACCCGGGCUUGCAGCUCUUAGAGUCCACGUACUUCACCACCACACCACAGGGGUCCCAAGUCUUAGCAGCUGCCUGGGAGAUACCACUGGACAUGAGGACAAGAGACCCCCAAGCCCACUCAUGCUGGAAGGGACCCUCAUUACUCACAUGACCAAUAGGAAAGCAGAGGGAUUGGGUGCCCCCAGCCCAACCCCCUCCGUCCCUUGUGAGCUCUGGGAGCAGGCGGGGCCCUGAGGACCCACACAGAUGUGACGGGGAGGCAGCGUGGUGGCCUGAAUCACCACCUUCUGAGCAUCCACUGUAUUCAGAGCAAUCGCCAUAUCUGAUCUCACGUUGUCCUCACAACUACAGAGACACCAGUAACCCACCACCACCAUUGGUGCAAUAAUGACUUUAUACUGUGCAUCCAUUAGGCCUUCAUGUCUUACUAAACCCAGGGGCAGGGGUGGGCAGUGGGGGACAGUGAGUGUAGGGACAUAGAAGGCACGGUGCCAGCCUUCAAGGGGCCUGUGAUCCUUGGGCAGAGGCAGCAUGUGCUUAGGGAGCUACAUCAGAAGGGAACUUUUGCUUAAUGUCUUGUAAGUUAUCUGCAGAUGCCACAGGAGGCUGGAGGGCAUCGAAGGCCCAGGGACCAGGAGGCUCCUGGAACAGGGAUGCUGGAGAAAUGCCUGAAGGAAACUUCUAGUCUCUUCCUGGUCACAGACUGUCUGGCUACCUCUGGGCUGCGUGCCCCUCGUGGGAUGCUUAUGGUCCACCUGCCUGCCUGGAUGCUUUCUGCCUCAUCCACCUGGGAAUCCAUCCUCUCCUGCAAGGGCGUCAGGGGUGGCCCUUUUCCGAAGCUCCCCCAUCCCUCCGGACUUCCUGUGGCAGAAUUGGCAGCUCCACCACCUGAGGUCCGGUGACAACGGCUUCUGUGAAUUCUCUCACCUCACUAAGCAGCCAGAAGGUGAUCGCCUGUCCCUCUCUCUGUCUUCGCAGAGCCCACGUAGGUGAGAGGUCAGCAAACAAUGGAUGGAAAGGGCUUUCUUUGCAUGGGCCUGGCACAGAGCAGGGCUGCAGUAACUCCUACUGCUGCUGAUGUUGCCAAUGGGCACUCAGCAUGUCUUUUAUUAUUAUUAUUAUUAUUUUAGGGUCACACCUGCAGCACAUGGAAGUUCCCAGGCUAGGGGUGGAAUGGGAGCUGCCACUGCCGGCCUACACCACAGCCACAGCAAUGCGGGAUCCAAGCUGCGUCUAUGACCUACACAUAGCUCAUGGCAACGUGGGAUCCUUAACCCACUGAGUGAGUCCAGAGAUCAAACCUGCAUCCUCAUGGAUACUAGUCAGGUUUGUUACCACUGAGCCACGACAGGAACUCCUUGGAUGUCUUUUUAUUCCAUGGAAUUCAUGGCUGGGUGGGAACAGGAGGAAGCCAGUACCUGGGGCCAGGGGAGGGGGCCUGGGUGACUGGAGCAGGGUCUGGCUUGUGGGAAGCCUGCCCAGGGGCAGCCAGGAAUGAGCAGGGCUUGCAGGGAGGCCACAGGCAAGGGGCCUGGAGUGGUGUGAAGAUGUGCGGAUGGGGGUGCCUGAUGGGUGAGUCGAGGGGGAGGAGGCAGGAGAGAGGCUGUGUGAUCCUUCAUCCAGAUGGAUGGUUCCAGCAACAGCCCAGACAGGUAAACAGUGGGGCUGGGGCCAGACGGCCCCCCUCUAUCCCCCACCCGCUGACUCUGUACUGGUGACAACUCCUGUCAAGUCUUGAUGAGAGGCUGCUGGCUGCUUCUGCCCCCUUGGCCCUGCUUUUGGGAGUUUUUCCCAAAGUUGGGGGGCCAGGGGCGACUCCAGUGACCCAGCAUCACAAGAAAAACUCAGAGGGAGAGAAAGGAGAGGCCCUUGCUUUCUCUCCACCUCCCGCGAAUCCAGGAGGACACUGCUCUGCCAAAUCUUCUGUGUUGGUUAAUGGCUCCCUCUUCCAGGAAGCCUUCCCUGGCCAGUCUCUUAUCUCUCCCUCUAGGCACUUCCUCCACUCCCACAAGAAUUGAUCCCUCCAUGGAAGUCCCCAGCAUCCGCUGUCCAUCCCAGUUAUGUGACACUUGCACUAGUGUCCAAGCAACUGAAGCCCAGCCCUGACCCAGCUGGCUGUGUGGGAAGGGCCACUCUGAACCACUGCCCCUUCCUCUGCUUCGUGGGGACAUGAGAUAGAUACUCUGGAAAGCAGAUUCUGAUCCUGGAUCUGCCACUUCCUGGCUGCGAACCUCAGUUUCUGCCUCUGGAAAAUGGGGAUUCCCAUUAUGCUCUCCUCUGUGUGUGUGUGUGUGUGUGUGUGUGUGUGUACACAAAGUGAGGCAGUGGUGGGAAGGGCUCAGCCCACGACAAAGACGGGAGGGUGUUAUAAUUAGCUCUUUGUGGACAGGUAAGCACAGGGGCCCACAGAGGCCCCCAUUACAACCCCUGGGCAGAGGCUCAGGGUGAACGGUCAUGCUCCCAACUCUUUGACUUAGGGCGAGGGAUUCAGAAGGGGAGGGGUGGUGGGAUCUGGCACAUUCUCUAAAGUCCUAUUGACCCAGGGACCUGUUCACCCACAUCCCUACUCUCUUCAGUGUAUCUUAUGUUGUUUGUUCCAUUUUAUUCUUUGCAUGCUGGUGAUUGUUUAGCUAAUUAGUCUAAAGACAUUCUGGCUGAAUUCAGGGCUGCUUAACAAGAAUCUCUUAACUACAUGGUAUUUUGGUUGGGGGUGGGUGUUCUUUGAACAUUUAUCUAAAUUACUUUGGAGCUCUUCAAGAUAAUGUUGUUAGUUUUUAAACAUUUAAGAUCUAGUCAUCAAAAUGUAAUUGUAGUUAAUUAAAUUUAAAUUGCAUUGUUCCUUGAGAUACAGCUUCAGUUUUGUUUUGUUUCAGGACAACUGAGGACAUCAAAAACCCGUCCCAGCCCCAAAGCAGGAGCGGCAGUAACAGGCGAGGGGCUUGAGCUGUUUGGGGAUCUGCAGAGAAGACAGCGGCUGACCCCACCCCCAGAGUUCCUAAAGGGGGCUCUCAGGACAUCCCUGAGGAGCAUGGAGACUGGGACCAAACAAGAGGGCUGCUGCAGGCACCCGUUGUCCCCUCAUCUUCAUGGGGCUGGGAGUAAAAACUAGACAUCCAGGUCAUCUGCAUAGUGCGAGGGGCGGGGGGCCCAAAUCUCAGCAGAACUGAAGCAUCUCUCCAUCUCACCCAUCCAUCCUGUCCAUCCAUCCAUCCACCCACCUCCUACCCAUCAGAUCCAUUCAUGAACCCACCCUCUCUUUCACCCAUCCACCCACACGACUCUGCCCGCCCACCCAUCCAUCUCUCCUCCAAUCAUCUAUAUCCAUUCAUCCACCCACCUAUUCAUCACCCACUUAACAUCAAUCAAUUUACCCACCUGCUAGUCAUCUUUUAAUCCCUCCAUCCAUCUCUUCAUCCAUCCAUCCAUCCAUCCAUCCAUCCAUCCAUCCAUCCAUCCAUCCCUCUCUCCACCCAUCCAACCACCUACUCAUCCAUCUAUCCAGUGAAUGAGUAUCUAAAGAGAGGAAAAUAGAAGCAGUAGUAAUAUCCCUGGGGCAGGAAAGGAUAGCGAGCCUGAGGAUAUGAAAGAAGAACCAUGUUGUUGAAUAAAAAGGUAAAGAGAAAGAAGGAUGAAAGAUGCUUGAAGAAGUGGGGCCAGGCCACACUGGUCCCUCUGGGCCACAAUAGGUACGAGUUUGGGACUGAGGCAGAGCUGGUAGCGUGAUGGAGGUGACAAGAAAGGCAGAGAGCAGCAGGAACUCCAGAUCCUGGGGUCCCUGUCACAGCCCUGGUGCCGUCACCACUAGUGACCGGCAUCUCUGGCAGAUGAUAAUUGAUUUGGAAGCAGUAAACCUGAGUCUAGAUUGGGCUCUGCU
ensembl:lncRNA